rnacentral:rRNA from 1 species
CAGCCGCCACGGGAAAACGGAGGGUGCAAGCGUUAUCCGGAUUUAUUGGGUUUAAAGGGUCCGUAGGCGGAUCUGUAAGUCAGUGGUGAAAUCUCACAGCUUAACUGUGAAACUGCCAUUGAUACUGCAGGUCUUGAGUAAAUUUGAAGUGGCUGGAAUAAGUAGUGUAGCGGUGAAAUGCAUAGAUAUUACUUAGAACACCAAUUGCGAAGGCAGGUCACUAAGAUUUAACUGACGCUGAUGGACGAAAGCGUGGGGAGCGAACAGGAUUAGAGACCCCGGUAGUCCCUGUCUCUUAUAC